rnacentral:other from 1 species
UUCCCUGCUGCGUUCGAAGCUAAGUGACAAAAACCUUGAGCCUAUUUAAAUAUUAGGGAAAACGAGUUGUAUUGUAGGCGUGUAUGCUCUUUCAGUAGAGAAACCCAACACAAUAUCUUCGUUCCCACUUGAACCGCUUGGUUCAAGGUAGACACUCCGACUACGGCGCUCGUGGGGA